GCCUCCCUCUUUCUUCGUGCUUAACACAUGCAAGUCGAACGGAAAGGCCCUGCUUUUGUGGGGUGCUCGAGUGGCGAGCGGGUGAGUAACACGUGAGUAACCUGCCCUUGACUUUGGGAUAACUUCAGGAAACUGGGGCUAAUACCGGAUAGGAGCUCCUGCUGCAUGGUGGGGGUUGGAAAGUUUCGGCGGUUGGGGAUGGACUCGCGGCUUAUCAGCUUGUUGGUGGGGUAGUGGCUUACCAAGGCUUUGACGGGUAGCCGGCCUGAGAGGGUGACCGGCCACAUUGGGACUGAGAUACGGCCCAGACUCCUACGGGAGGCAGCAGUGGGGAAUAUUGCACAAUGGGCGGAAGCCUGAUGCAGCAACGCCGCGUGCGGGAUGACGGCCUUCGGGUUGUAAACCGCUUUCGCCUGUGACGAAGCGUGAGUGACGGUAAUGGGUAAAGAAGCACCGGCUAACUACGUG
rnacentral:rRNA from 1 species